rnacentral:rRNA from 1 species
UACAGGGGGUGCAAACGUUGCUCGGAAUCAUUGGGCGUAAAGCGCACGUAGGCGGUCUGUUAUGUCGGAUGUGAAAGCCCACGGCUCAACCGUGGAGGGUCAUUGGAAACUGGGGGACUUGAGUGCAGGAGAGAAGAGUGGAAUUCCACGUGUAGCGGUGAAAUGCGUAGAGAUGUGGAGGAACACCAGUGGCGAAGGCGACUCUUUGGCCUGUAACUGACGCUGAGGCGCGAAAGCGUGGGGAGCAAACAGG